rnacentral:lncRNA from 1 species
CACCCUCUCCUAAGUGGAUAAAAUCUUGAAGAUCUUUAACUUUGUGGAUAGACUGAUUUGAAUGCUGUGGUGAGAAUGAGUUGAUGAAAGAGUUUUCUCAGUUUGAAAUAAGUCUUCAGCCUGAUCCUAGCAAGAAGCAGGCCAGACCAGUAGCUGAUGAAGCAAACCAGAGGAACAUGGUUUUGCAGCCUAGACCCAUUAAGAUUCUGGAAGCAGCCUGGAAAUUUCACACACUGCCCAUUACAUUAAUGGAAAGUAUUGAUAUGCUAAUUAUCCAGGAGGUCAUUGGAAGACCUGGGGACAACAUAAUCAUCUUGCUGUUCUACAUUCUGUCUAUGAUUACUUAUUUUGAAAUCAUUAGCUGAAAAUAUUGACAGGUUAGGUAAUGAAUAAAGCUCACAUCAAAGAAACAACAUUACUUUUUGAAUUAAAAAAAAAACACCCUGCAAAUGCAAUGGAUUUCUAAUGAGUUCCUGCAGAAAAC